GUAACCCAUUUAAAAAUACGUUUGUUCUUGUGUCUCUAUUUUGUCUUAUUACCUCAGUUUUUUUUUUGUAAUACAAUAAGACAUAAGUAACUUUAUUGUUAAACUUGUAGCUACUGGUGAGUAAUUCGGUUCAAGUAUUGGUUCUUCUUAAUUUGGAACCUUUUUGCUACUACUCUGAAUUUGAGAGAACUCCUAAAAGAAACGUGCAUCCUAUCGAAAGAACGUUGCAGUCUAGUUAAAGGAUUGUGCAGGCCAUAAGAGGGUCCAAAGAGAGAACUGACAUGACCGAUUUAUAAUCAGUGUGACCAUUAGCUAAUGGAAUUUUAAGUUUAAGAGAACAUAUUCUUAAGAAUUUAUUUUGGAUUUUUUCAAUAUGCGUUUUAUAAGAUGGAGACCAUAUAGAACUAGCAUACUCCAAACUAAGACAAACAGUACAGAACUUUAUAGACGGAGCAUGAGAAUCUUGACUGUACCUAGUUAUAAAUCCUAGAUUUCUAUACUUAGAAUCGAAAAUUCCUUUGAGAACCCUAACUUCCGCUUCCCUUUUUAAAAUAUUGGAACCUAUAGUAUAAUCAAACAAUGUAAGGCUACGAAUCCUUCCAAAAGUUAUUAAAUAACACUUCGGCACAUUAAAAUUGCAAUUCUUCCUUUGUCUUAAAAAUCCAUUUAAUUUUAGCUUAAUCUAAAUCCAUGUAUUUAAUUUUUUAAUUGAUUCUUUAUAUUUUAUUGCCUCUCCAUAGUUUAUAGGAUCAUUUACUUCUACAGAUAUUAAACCAUUAAGAUGUAAAGUACGUGCAUUACAUUUAUUUUCACUGCCUUUUUUGACUCUUGUAUCUCUUAUAAUACAAUCAUUAAAAUCUUCUGAGGGUGUACUUUCAGUUAUUACUUUUAUCUGAUUCGUUAUCAUCCUUCGAAUUUCUCACUCUAUUUAAUUUAUUUUUGCCUGUAGAUUAUUUUCUAAAGUAUUUCAGUAAUUGUUUGAUUUUUCUUUUCCAUACAUCCACCUUUCACCAUUUGGUCAUAAUUAAUCACACCUUGUGCUCUUCUUCCAGUUUAUUUUACCUUAAUAAAACCACCCUGAGCCUGACUUCCAAACACUUUUAAUUUUGAUAAUUCAUUUUUCAUAUGAAGAGUCGGGGAAGUCCACAUUUAACGAAAAAUAAAGUAUUCAAUGCAAAACGAUACUUAUAGCCUCUAUUUUGUCGGGUUACAGUAUAAGAAGAAACAAAGAUAACAGUCCAAAGUUAUAAUUGAAAUAAAAUUAGAUGUACUAGGAAAGAACGCUGAAAGUCCAUGCGUCCAUGAGUCCCAUAUGGAUUUGAAAUGUUUUUCUGUUAUAAACGAAGAAACGCGUCGUAUAAUUUUGCGUGAAUUCAAUAAUUCUAUAUCAUCAUACAAUGAGCAGAACUCGUAUCUUGCCGGACUAAUUUCCGUAGUGCCCAUUCAGCGACGACGACCCCGUAAACCGCAAAAUGAAGUCACUAAGUUUAAUCAGUCAUCAUACAAAUAUAGAGUUAGAGUCUUGGGGCAAGACGGUUUCACAUAAUAUGCUUCAAACCGUUCCUGUCAAUUCACGGAAUAAGUGGGCGGCGUGUCCAAACAAUUCAAAGGUCAUUAAAAAUGACAGGUGUUUCUCCAGUUGACAACAGAGGUUAGCACAGAAAUAGAAAGCAUGCUCUGUCCAAGGAAACAAUUAUUGCGUGUGUAAAGCAGCACAUCUCGUCUUUCAAAUCCCGUAGCAGCUAUUACAGCUUAAGUAAGUCCAAGAAAACGUAUCUAUCGGAGGACCUAAAUGUUGCAAAAAUACAUAAACUGUUUAAACAAAAACAUCAUGAUAUGAAAUUAUCUUACGACAGCUAUCGAGAAAUUUUUAACAAGAACUUCAACAUUAGUUUUGGGUACCCUCGUUCAGAUACCUGUUCUUUCUGUGAUGAGAUAAACGUCAAAAUACAAAAUCUUCAAUCAAAACUCUCAAAGACGGAAAAAAGUACUGCUGAAAUUCUCAGAGAACUGAAGAAACUGCAACUGGAUAAAGAUAUUCAUUUGAGGAAAGCAGAUACCUUUUACUAAAGGAAAACAGCUGCGAAGAAUGAGAGUAGAAAGACAAUGGAAAUGGAAUCAAUAUGCAUCGAUUAUGCCAAGAACUUGCCAGUUCCAAACAUUUCCACAAAUGACGUGUAUUAAUGCCGUCAAUUGUCAAUUUACACAUUUAUUAUUCACAUUAUAUAUUACGCUAUUUUCUAUACGUAUCCAGAAGUAAUAGGCAAAAAGGGAAGCUCGGAUGUUUGUUCGUUAUUGCAUCAUAUGCUGUACAAUCAUCUAAAUCAGCAAACGAGGAAACUAAACAUUUUCUGUGACUCAUGCCCAGGACAAAAUAAAAACUGGACUAUGUUUAGAUACUUGCAUUAUGUUAUACAUUUCCAGAAACGUUUGGACUUUAUUCAAAUGACAUUUCCGAUUCGAGGCCAUUCAUAUAUGGAGUGCGACAAGGACUUCGCCGCAGUGAAUCAAAAGCAUAGAGCAGAAAUACCGCAAGACUAGAUAGAGGCUUCCGAGUCAAGUCGGAAUAAACCAGCGCCCUUUAAGACUGAAAAUGUUCAACAACCCUUUUUCCGGCAAUGGGAAGAGCUUCUAAAUACAUUUUACAAAAAAGAAAUGUCCAUUUCCAACUAGAGUUAUUAGGGAAAUAAAAUUUUCAAAGGAAAAUCCAAGGCCUGUGUAUUUCCGGACAACAUUCAACGGGGAGUGGCAGUCAGCUGAUAUCGUCGGCAAACCAUUGGUGCCAAACAAUAGGGGGGAGUUUGAAUUACCUGGAAUUUCUUACGAAGGUCUACUCCCUUUAUCAGGUGCUAAGUUCAAAGAUCUAACUAAGCUUGCAAGAUUUUGUGGAGAAUCGGCACAGGAGUACGUUUGCAGCCUGCCACACAAUUGAGAAUUUCUAUUUUAUUUCGUAGUCUCCAUUUUGUCACCAAACAAUAAAGAUUUAUUUUGUAAAA